AUUGAACGCUGGCGGCAUGCUUUACACAUGCAAGUCGAACGGUAACAGGCCGCAAGGUGCUGACGAGUGGCGAACGGGUGAGUAAUGCAUCGGAACGUGCCCAGUCGUGGGGGAUAACGCAGCGAAAGCUGUGCUAAUACCGCAUACGAUCUAUGGAUAAAAGCGGGGGACCGUAAGGCCUCGCGCGAUUGGAGCGGCCGAUGUCAGAUUAGGUAGUUGGUGGGGUAAAGGACCACCAAGCCAACGAUCUGUAGCUGGUCUGAGAGGACGACCAGCCACACUGGGACUGAGACACGGCCCAGACUCCUACGGGAGGCAGCAGUGGGGAAUUUUGGACAAUGGGCGCAAGCCUGAUCCAGCAAUGCCGCGUGCAGGAAGAAGGCCUUCGGGUUGUAAACUGCUUUUGUACGGAACGAAACGGUCUGGGUUAAUACCCUGGGCUAAUGACGGUACCGUAAGAAUAAGCACCGGCUAACUACGUGCCAGCCGCCGCCGUAAAAC
rnacentral:rRNA from 1 species